CAAAGAGCCAUGCCGCUGCGCACGAGGGGAUCAGUUUGGUGUCAGGACUUACAUCAGGAGACAGUAACAGACUAUUCCUGGGCCGGCACUGGCACGUGGACCACUUGAAUAGCAUUACUGAAGCUUAAAAAUGAGGUAUCUCUACAUGUGUGGAUGUAAAAAGCAUAUUGAAGACUUUGCUUCUGCAGUUGUUUCAAGCAGAGUGCUUGACAGUGUGGACAGUAUUGAUAAUAACACAUUCAAAGAGAAAAGAAGGCAGUCUGACUUUAGGAACCCCAAAUUAGGCCAAGACAAUGCUGAUGAAAGCAACAGGGGAAGGAGUCUGGAACAGAAUUAAAUGCUUAA